AUUGAACGCUGGCGGCAGGCUUAACACAUGCAAGUCGAGCGGGGUGAUGUAGCUUGCUACAUUACCUAGCGGCGGACGGGUGAGUAAUGCUUAGGAAUCUGCCUAUUAGUGGGGGACAACAUUCCGAAAGGAAUGCUAAUACCGCAUACGCCCUACGGGGGAAAGCAGGGGAUCUUCGGACCUUGCGCUAAUGGAUGAGCCUAAGUCAGAUUAGCUAGUUGGUGGGGUAAAGGCCUACCAAGGCGACGAUCUGUAGCGGGUCUGAGAGGAUGAUCCGCCACACUGGGACUGAGACACGGCCCAGACGCCUACGGGAGGCAGCAGUGGGGAAUAUUGGACAAUGGGCGAAAGCCUGAUCCAGCCAUGCCGCGUGUGUGAAGAAGGCCUUUUGGUUGUAAAGCACUUUAAGCGAGGAGGAGGCUACCGAGAUUAAUACUCUUGGAUAGUGGACGUUACUCGCAGAAUAAGCACCGGCUAACUCUGUGCCAGCCGCCGCCGUAAGAC
rnacentral:rRNA from 1 species